rnacentral:rRNA from 1 species
UACGUAGGGGGCAAGCGUUGUCCGGAUUUUUUGGGCGUAAAGAGCGUGUAGGCGGCUUUGCAAGUCCGUUGUGAAAACUCGAGGCUCAACCUCGAGACGCCGGUGGAAACUGCAAAGCUAGAGUCCGGAAGAGGAGAGUGGAAUUCCUGGUGUAGCGGUGAAAUGCGCAGAUAUCAGGAAGAACACCCGUGGCGAAGGCGGCUCUCUGGGACGGUACUGACGCUGAGACGCGAAAGCGUGGGGAGCGAACAGG